AUUGAACGCUGGCGGCAUGCUUUACACAUGCAAGUCGAACGGCAGCGCGGGCUUCGGCCUGGCGGCGAGUGGCGAACGGGUGAGUAAUACAUCGGAACGUGCCCAGUAGUGGGGGAUAGCUCGGCGAAAGCCGGAUUAAUACCGCAUACGACCUGAGGGUGAAAGCGGGGGAUCUUCGGACCUCGCGCUAUUGGAGCGGCCGAUGGCAGAUUAGCUAGUUGGUGGGGUAAAGGCCUACCAAGGCGACGAUCUGUAGCUGGUCUGAGAGGACGACCAGCCACACUGGGACUGAGACACGGCCCAGACUCCUACGGGAGGCAGCAGUGGGGAAUUUUGGACAAUGGGCGAAAGCCUGAUCCAGCAAUGCCGCGUGUGUGAUGAAGGCCUUCGGGUUGUAAAGCACUUUUGGCGGGAACGAAAAGGACUGUGCCAAUACCACGGUUCGAUGACGGUAUCCGCAGAAUAAGCACCGGCUAACUACGUG
rnacentral:rRNA from 1 species